GAUGAACGCUGGCGGCGUGCCUAAUACAUGCAAGUCGAGCGAACAGACGAGGAGCUUGCUCCUCUGACGUUAGCGGCGGACGGGUGAGUAACACGUGGAUAACCUACCUAUAAGACUGGGAUAACUUCGGGAAACCGGAGCUAAUACCGGAUAAUAUAUUGAACCGCAUGGUUCAAUAGUGAAAGACGGUUUUGCUGUCACUUAUAGAUGGAUCCGCGCCGCAUUAGCUAGUUGGUAAGGUAACGGCUUACCAAGGCAACGAUGCGUAGCCGACCUGAGAGGGUGAUCGGCCACACUGGAACUGAGACACGGUCCAGACUCCUACGGGAGGCAGCAGAAGGGAAUCUUCCGCAAUGGGCGAAAGCUUGACGGAGCAACGCCGCGUGAGUGAUGAAGGUCUUCGGAGCGUAAAACUCUGUUAUUAGGGAAGAACAAAUGUGUAAGUAACUAUGCACGUCUUGACGGUACCUAAUCAGAAAGCCACGGCUAACUACGUG
rnacentral:rRNA from 1 species